rfam:Zea mays cultivar B73 chromosome 2, whole genome shotgun sequence.
GGAUGUGAUCAUACCAGCACUAAAGCACCAGAUCGCAUCAAAACUGCAAGGUUAAGCGUGCUUGGGCGAGAGUAGUACUAGGAUGGGUGACCUCCUGGGAAGUUUUCAUGUUGCAUUCC